rnacentral:sRNA from 1 species
CCUUCUUCCUUUCUAUAGCCCUGUGGUGGAAGAUUUUAUUAAAAUCCUACGUGAAGUUGAUAAGGCGCUUGCUGAUGACUUGGAAAAAAGCUUCCCAAGUUUGAAGGAAGUUGCCUACUUGCUAAAAGGUGUACCCUGAGCAUUUGUGACUCCAAGGGAAACCAGGAACAUCAUGCUGCAGAAACCCUUUGGAGGAACGUGCCAACUGCUCCGUAACCAUGAGCUGGCUCUCCUUUGAUGGAGAGAUUAAUAGUUUCCAUAAUUAUAUCAUCCUGGUUGUUCUGGGCCCGGAGUUUACUUAGACUUGAAAGAAAUUGAAGUUAAUUGAAAAA